rnacentral:rRNA from 1 species
GAUGAACGCUAGCGGUGCGCCUAAUACAUGCAAGUCGAGCGGUAACAGGGAGAGCUUGCUCUCUGCUGACGAGCGGCGGACGGCUGAGUAACACGUUGGAACCUACCCCAGACUCAGGGAUAACCUGCCGAAAGGCAGACUAAUACCGGAUAAUCUCGUAAGAGUAAAGCUUUUGCGGUCUGGGAGGGGCCUGCGUCCUAUCAGCUUGUUGGUGAGGUAAAAGCUCACCAAGGCUAUGACGGGUAGCUGAUGUGAGAGCAUGAUCAGCCAGAAUGGAACUGAGACACGGUCCAU